rnacentral:lncRNA from 1 species
AACAACAGCAACAUAGGCGACACGUAAACAUCUCAAGAUAUAACAAUAUCAAAUAAUAAUCAACAACAACUCAUGCAACUUAGUUUAAUAACAAUAGCAGCAUAAUCAGAUCAUAUCAACAACUUAACAUCAAUUCAUUUUCAAUAACUUCUUGAUCAUUCAAUAAUAAUUCAAGUAAUGCAAUCAAUCAAUAAAUCACAUUAUAAACACUUAGCAUUUCAAUAUAGCUUCACAAUUAACAGUUAACAUCUUAGAUAGGUCUCAUUAGUACCUAAAGUUCCAUUCCUAAACAAUCCAAGCAACUCAAGUCUCAAACUCCUCAAAA